CCCUUAGAUGUUCUGGGCGGCCCGCGCACUACAAUGGCGUGUGCAGCGAGUGCCGAAGUAGAGUUUUCCGAGGUAUUCUUGCAAUGCUCGUUUUGAUGGGGAUAGACCCUUGCAACUGUUGGUUUUGAACGAGGAAUUCCUUGUAAGCAUGGUUUAUCAUCCGACGCUGAAUGCCUCCCUGCCCUUUGUACACACCGCCCGUCGCUCCUACCGAUGAGUCGUCCGGUGAAGUUCGUAGACCUCGUGAUCGCGGAUCACUGGGGGAAGCAAAAUGAACCUCGCGGUUUAGAGGAAGGAGAAGUCGUAACA
rnacentral:rRNA from 1 species